rnacentral:rRNA from 1 species
GAUGAACGCUGGCGGCGUGCCUAACACAUGCAAGUCGAGCGGUAUAUACUUAAACAAAUCUUCGGAAGAGUGAGAGUAUAGCGAGCGGCGGACGGGUGAGUAACGCGUAGGCAACCUGCCCCAUACAGAGGGAUUGCCUCGGGAAACCGGGAUUAAAACCUCAUAACGCGAGAGAGUCACAUGGCUUUUUCGCCAAAGCUUUAUCGGUAGGGGAUGGGCCUGCGUCGGAUUAGCUAGUUGGUGGGGGAACGGCCUACCAAGGCAACGAUCUGUAGCCGACCUGAGAUGGUAAUCGGCCACAUUGGAACUGAGACACGGUCCAAACUCCUACGGGAGGCAGCAGUAGGGAAUAUUGCACAAUGGGCGUAAGCCUGAUGCAGCAACGCCGCGUGAGCGAUGAAGGCCUUUGUGUCGUAAAGCUCUGUCCUUGGGGAAGAAUUAAUGACGGUACCCUUGGAGGAAGCCCCGGCUAACUACGUGCCAGCAGCCGCAGUAA